GGCGGGAUAGCUUAGUUGGUUAGAGCGCUCGGUUCAUACCCGGGAGGUCGUGAGUUCGAAUCUCACUCCCGCUACCA
rnacentral:tRNA from 1 species